CCUACGGGAGGCAGCAGUGGGGAAUAUUGCGCAAUGGGCGAAAGCCUGACGCAGCGACGCCGCGUGAGGGAUGAAGGUCUUCGGAUCGUAAACCACUGUCCCCAGGGACGAAGAUGACGGUAACUGGGGAGGAAGCUCCGGCUAACUACGUGCCAGCAGCCGCGGUCAUACGUAGGGAGCGAGCGUUGUCCGGAAUUACUGGGUGUAAAGGGAGCGUAGGCGGGGAUGCAAGUUGGGUGUAAAAACUACCGGCUCAACCGGUAGUCGCAUUCGACACUGCAGCUCUUGAGUGAAGUAGAGGCAGGCGGAAGUCCUGGUGGAGCGGUGAAAUGCGUAGAGAUAAGGAGGAACACCAGUGGCGAAGGCGGCCUGCUGGGCUUUUACUGACGCUGAGGCUCGAAAGUGUGGGGAGCAAACAGGAUUAGAUACCCGAGUAGUC
rnacentral:rRNA from 1 species